rnacentral:lncRNA from 1 species
AUAGACCUCAGAGCAAUCUGUUAAAGCCUGCUUUACAGAUGCAUCUGAACUUGUUUCGAGCAAUUUGGGGAUGAGCUUCAAUACUUCAUUGGCGCUCAAUGAUGCUAUGUCAAGUGCACUUUUUGUCAAGCUUUGCAUGUCACUUGCUGGGGCUGAUCCUAAAGCUUCUUUGCAGAAAUCCUUGUAUAAGGUUUUGUCACAGGAUUGAUUUAACAAUUCUGAGGCUUGGUGACUAGUAGAAAUCAUGGCAAAAAAUAGGGCAAAGAAAAAGAUUUUCGAAGACAUGAGGUUUCGUGGGAUUUUUCUCUCUCGCCAAAUUUUCUUUAUUUGCCUUCUCGUAUAUGUGUCAAUGAAAAUCUUUCUCUUGGCGAAUUUUUCUUUUGCCUUCUUCUUGUAUUUGUACUAAACAAAAGUUUGGGUAUUUUAGGUUGUUUUUAACUAUUUUCUAUAUUUGGAUUUGAUUGUUAAAGAAAUGGCAGUUUUUUUUUACAAAAUUAUUUUUACAAUUGUGUGGAUCAUAAUAAAAUCCUAAUAACCAUGAAAGUGUAUGAAGAGUAUUAAAUAAAAUUGUACUUUACAACGUGUUUUAAAUUGAGAUUAUUUUGACUAAUAAAACGUUAGUUGGAGUGGCAAGCGACUAAAUCCCGUAACGAUGAGAACACAAGUUUGAUGUCCAGAAAGAACACUUUAAUGGGAAAACCAAAAACCUUUACACAAUCAGGAGGAUGAUUACACCUCCUGGUUAUAAAUAAAAAAAAAAAAAAAAAUUGAGGUUGAGGUUAUUUGGUCAAUAUCUCUCCUGCUAAAGCGUACGAGAAUAAAUGCUUCGUAAGAAGUAAUAAAACUUUCAAAUUUUGGAAGUGCUAAUUUCUAUAUAAAUAAUUCAGAAAUAAAUGUUUUUAUUUUUGAAUAAAAUUUUAUAAUAGCAAGCAUCUAUAAUUUUGAGAAUAGAUAUUAAGAAAAAAAUGCCAUGGUAAUAAUUUUUUAAGGCAAAAUUAGAGACAAAUUAUACGAGGUAUGUAAUAAGGUAUAUUAUUAUCAAAUUAUUAUAAUAUUUGAACUGAUAUUUAAAUCUUAGGCAAGAAAUUAAAAAAAAAAAAUCAAGCUGGAGAAAUAUUUGUAUUAUUUGUAUUAUAUUUGUUGGUAUGAAAAAAUAUGUUAAAAUGUGAAUUACAAAAUUGAAAGAUUGUGAAUCAAUAUAAUUUUAGAAAUCCCAUUUAUAAUUGACAGGCAUAAAAAUAUGGAAAUUGCUCUAUUAACAAACAGUUGUUAUGCAAUUUGCUUAUUUUAAUUUUGUAAUUAGUAACUUUCUUAUUACCAUAAAUAUUAUUAAACAGCCUCGUUGUUCCUUCCUCUCUCUCUCUCUUACUCCUAAAACCUAUAACCUAAAAUUUAAAAUCUCUUUUUUCUUCUUCCACGAGCCACCGGUAAUCACCCCUUUCCUUUUUUAUUUAUUUAUUUUUUCAAAUAAUAACAGAUCUGAAUUAUUGUCACUCAAAUAUUGAAGUUUACUGUUGCUCAUAUAUUGACAUUUUGUUCUUAGAUCUAAUUCUGAGUUAUUGUUAUCACCACCAUGUUGAAUUUAUCUAACGUCUUUUAUUAUUUGGAUAGUUAUACAGAAAGAAGUGCAGAUCUUCUCUCCAUUAGAAAGAAGAAAUUUGAAGAUAAUCAGAUUAGACUUGUAGAAAGACCAUGGAGUCAAUCAGUAGCCAUGAAUAGCCAUUAAGUGGUGCAAGCGAUCAUCUAUGGUACAUAUAUUAUAUUUUGUCAACUCGAUCAGAUAUUUCAAAUUAAGAUUGUGUUUUUUUAUUAUUUAUAUAAGUACUUUAUUAUUAGAUUUGCUAUACAAAAAUAUAUAAAUAUAUUGAUCUGUAUCCCAUAUUUAUAUACAGUUUCGAUUAAUAAAAUUUCUAGUUUGAUUUUUCUCACAAAAAAAAAUUAUCAUAAAUAUUAAUACGAAGAAAAGGUAAAAAGAUAAAUUAAUCAAAUUUAAAUUUCAAAUUAGAUUACCCAACCUAAAGAUAAGACUUGUUUACACCUCAUAUAUGGAUAGUCCCAUAUGCCCAACCAAUCUAUCAUUUUUUUAUUUUGAAGAAAUAUUGAUGCCUUUUCCUUUUUUUUUUCCUCAAUACUCUCGUUACAACAAAAACUUGUUUUUGAUUGGUCUGACAAAGUCAACAAACAAAUCGAAAUGCCUCGAUUUUUUUAGAAUUGAUUCGAGUCAAAUAGCAAUAAUUCAAAUCACUCCUUUUUAUAACAUGUUGAAAAUCCAAGGACUCAAUCAUAUGGAUACGUAAAAUACAGGAUUUUGCCUAACGGGAAAAGAAAGAAGAGGGAUGCUCAAUUUAAAGUGAGCAAACAGAAUUUCAUACUUGAUCUCAUAGAUACAUAUAGAAUUAUGUGGAAAGCCAUAUUUGACAAAAGUUGUAUGUACAACAUCAAGUCACUAACUUUCUUGACCUUUCGGCAUGGGCAGACAUCAACCCCGUACAUAGUAUUACAACUUUGCGAGGCUUUUUUAGUAAACAGUUGCCCUGGCCUGGUCACUGCGACCCUCUUUGUGAGGUAGCACGCCUUCUCUAGAAGUUACGAAACUAUUUUGCCGAAUUCCUUAGAAAGAGUUAUCUUGUGCCUUGAGGUAUUCACUACCUAAACACCUGUGUCGAUUUCAGGUACAAGUACCCUUUUGUUGAAAGUCGUUUGAGCAUUUCCCGAGAGUAUGCCAUAGGGUACUUCAACUAUAAUUAUUUAGAAUUAAUUUAUUAACCAACGACGGAGCUAAGGGGUCAAUGGUUGACCCCCUCCCCCUCAAACAAAAUUUUUUUCUUAGAUUUUAUCCAUAAAAUAUUAAAUUUUUUUAUUUUAUCCCUUAAACUAGUAAAUCUUUCAAUUUCACCCCUUUUAACUCUUGAAAUUUUUUUAGCCCCUCUUGGCUUUAAUUCCUGGCUCUGUCUAUUAACAUCAUUGUAAGCUUUAGAAUCAACAGUAGCUUUUACUUUCUUAAUUUGAUGAAUAGAAUUCUCACAGAUGUUAGAGCGAUCUUUUAGACGUUGCUUCACAAAUUCAUCUGAAAUUGUGUUAGAAUAUUCCGGUGAUAACUUUGGAGAUUUCAGUUGCACUCAAUGAUGCUAUGUCAAGUGCAUAUUUUUUAAAGCUUGGCGGGUCACUUGUUGGGCCUACUGCUAGAGCUUCUUCACAAUAGUUAUUGUAUAAUGUUUUUUCACAUGAUUGAUUUAUUAAAUCUAAGCCCCGUUCGUGACUAGUAAAAAUCAUGGCAAAGAAAAAGAUUUUGGAAACAUGAUGUUUCGCGAGAUUUUUCUCUCUCACUAAUUUUUCUUUAUUUUCCUUCUUGUAUAUAUGUCAAUGUAAAUCUCUCUUGGCGAAUUUUUCUUUUGCCGUCUUUUUGUAUUUGUGCUAAACAAAGGUUUGAGUAUUUUAAGUUCCGUUUAACUAUUUUCUAUUUUUGAUAGGUUCUAUUUAAGUUGUUUGUAACUACUUUGUAUUUUUGGAUAAGAGCAUAAUAAGAAAAGAACAAAUUAAUAGGAUCAAUGUAAAAAAAAAAAUCAUAAUAAUGACGCAUUUAUCUCACAAAAUUAUCUUGCACCAUGAAUAUUCCAACUUGACAAUGUUUUUUUUUUUUUUUUUUUUUUUUUUUUGAGUAUUGGGGGAAGGGGAUUCAAACCUGAAUCCAUUAUCGGAUCAUAUAUGCACUUACCACUAUCGAUUUAUUAAAUCUGAGCCCUUUUGGUGACUAGUAGAAAUCAUAGGAAAAAAUAGCGCAAAGAAAAAGAUUUUUGAAGAGAUGAUAUUUCCCAAGAUUUUUUCCUCUGGCCAAUUUUUCUUUGUUUUCCCUCUUGUAUAUAUGCAAAUGGAAAUCUCUCUUGGUGAAUUUUUCUUUAGCUUUCUUCUUGUAUUUAUACUAACCAUUUGUAUUUUUUUUGUGGAAACCACCGGUAUCCGGAUUCUAUUAUCAGAGCCGCUUUAAUUCGGCUUGGGGCUUAGUAGGUUAAUCAUUUUAUAUUUUUGGAUAAGAGGAUAAUAUGAAAUAUGAAGAACAAAUUAAGAGGGUCAAAGUAAAAAAAAAAAAUCAUAACAAUGACACAUUUAUUUCACAAAGUUAUCUUGUACCAUGAAAAUUAUAAUUGUUUUAGUCCCUAUUACUUGUCUUAGUCACUUUCAUAAUCCACUAUUUUCACCUCUAAACAGUAAAAACGUUCUUGCUGUUAUAAUAGUUAAGCAAAGUCCCCACAUUAAUCCACAACAAUUUUUCAUGAACAGAACUCAACCAAAAUUAUAGAAAUUAAAGAGGAAGUUCUAAUUUCUAAACAUGCAUGUGGGAGUAAAAAUCUCAUUUUUGCAAUUUUUAAUUAACAACUUAAAUUUUUUAUUUAAUUAAAAUGCAUUUCAAUGCUAAAUAGCAAGUUUAGAAUGAUUUACUCGUGCUUUUACUAAUGAUUUAGAGCAAAAAAACCCAAAAAAAAAAAAAAAAAAGAGAAAGAAACAAGAGAACUAGAAAAAUUUUAAAAAAAUUAUAAAAUCAAAUGUUAAUAUGGAUUCAUUUCCAUAAAUGAUUGUUGCACUAAUCUGACCUUACAAUAAUACAUAUAUGGAAAGAUUAGAUGGGUUCAAAUAAGAGUUCAAUUUUUGGCGGAGAGAUUGGAAAAUGUUAAAAUAAUACUGGAAAUUUGGCUAAAUCUUGUGUUGACACUAGUCAAUGGAGAUGUAACUCCAUUGAAACCUUCCUCACAAGUCUCAGAACUGGUCAUCCCAGCACUAAUCCAUGUAUUAACAUCAUUAUAAGCCUUAGCAUCAACAGCAGCCGUUGAUUUCUUAAUCUGAUCAAGAGCGCUCUGAUAGACCUCAGAGCAAUCUGUUAAAGCCUGCUUUACAGAUGCAUCUGAACUUGUUUCGAGCAAUUUGGGGAUGAGCUUCAAUACUUCAUUGGCGCUCAAUGAUGCUAUGUCAAGUGCACUUUUUGUCAAGCUUUGCAUGUCACUUGCUGGGGCUGAUCCUAAAGCUUCUUUGCAGAAAUCCUUGUAUAAGGUUUUGUCACAGGAUUGAUUUAACAAUUCUGAGGCUUGGUGACUAGUAGAAAUCAUGGCAAAAAAUAGGGCAAAGAAAAAGAUUUUCGAAGACAUGAUGGUUCGUGGGAUUUUUCUCUCUCGCCAAAUUUUCUUUAUUUGCCUUCUCGUAUAUGUGUCAAUGAAAAUCUUUCUCUUGGCGAAUUUUUCUUUUGCCUUCUUGUAUUUGUACUAAACAAAAGUUUGGGUAUUUUAGGUUGUUUUUAACUAUUUUCUAUUUUUGGACAGGUUGUUAAAGAAAUAAGAGGAGAAUAAGGAGGUAAAUUAAAGCAGGAAGAACCAAUUAGUGGGUAAAAUUAACAGAAUAAUCUACUGAUUCUUAAAUUACAAAAGUCCAAUUUUAUGGCUGGUCUCUGGAUUGUGUAUAUUUGGCAGUUUUAUUUCACAAAAUUAAAGCAAUUCACAAAUAGCCUAGCAAUUUAGAUUGAAAUUAAAGCAACUAACAACCCCAAAUUUCGGGUUUCCCUUGUAGUUUCAGUUGUUUUAUGCAAAAAAAAAAAAUCUGAAAAAUGGGCAGAAUUUUUCUUUUAAUUUCGUUUCUUUUAUAAUUCUACUAAUUCAAAUGUGUUUGUACAAUUUAGGAAUGGAUUCCGCUAAGUUAUACAAAUUAAAACGAAGAGAUAAGCAGAUUUGUGCAAGAUCAGCUAAUUAAACUAAAUCUGAGUUUUUCUGGAUUCAAAUUAGUUUUAAACAGCUCAUGGAACACAAAGAACAGCAAAACCCUAAUUAAUAGUAGAUAAAGGAUAGAAAAAUUAUUUGGCAAACCAAUGCUCUGAUACCAAAUAAUACGGAACCACAAGAUCAACAUAGAACUUAGAACUCUCCACCAAUUAUUAACAAAUAAUUAAUUUUGCAACUUUUUUUUUUUUAUGCAAACUUGCAAUGUUAAGUGAUUUUGUAUCUAUAUUGUUAAUUUUUGUAAUAUAAUUAAUUAAUUAAUUAAUUUUAUAUAUAUAUAUAUAUAUAUAUAUAUAUAUAUAUAUAUUGUAAACUUGCAAUCUUAAGUGAUUGUUGUAGUUCUCUAUUAUUAAGUUUAGUUAUGUAAUUAUUAUAUAACAUAAAUAGCAUGCAAAUAUAAAUUAUGUUUUGUAUAUGAAUUUAAGAAUUGUUCAUUUUGCAAUGCUAAAGAAAGCGUUUUUUAGCUUUAAUUUUAGUUAUGAUAUAAAUAAUUCUGUAAUUUUUUCGUUGCUUGCAAUUUUAAGUGAUAUUUCUAUUUAUCUAAUAUAUUUUGAAUUUUUUUUUUUUGGAUAGUAAGCUUUAUUUAAUGAUAAAAUAAUUAUUAAUAAAUUAAGUUGAUUAAUUUAUAUUGUCUUUCUAUUGUCCACUUUCAUUUAUUUUCUUUAUUAUAUUUUAAUAACUAAAGAAGUUAGAUAUUGUAAUAUUGGAUAAGGUUUAAGUUAAAUUUUUAUACUAAUAUUUUUCCACUCAUUUCUAUUAUAUGAUUUCAUAAAUAUAAUAUUUUGGGUUUCUUGAAACUAUAUAUGACGUAAUAUUAUUUGUCUUUCUUCCUAUAUAUAUAUAUAUUUUUAAUAAGCCUGUAAAUAGACAAAUCAACCGAAUUUGAAUUGUUGGAACUGUGACUUGUUUAUAUUUACGAGUUCAUUUAUAAGCUCAGAAGCCUACUCAUACAUGCAAAUAAAUCACUCUGAUUAUUUUAUUUAUAAUCAUAUACAAAAUAAUUAUCUAAAAUUAUUUUAAUCCACUUAAAACUAAAAGGUUCUAGGUUCAUUUCUCGUUAAUAUUGUGAUAUUAAAAUUAUUUUAAUCCAUAGUUCCAUCAAGAUCCAAAGAGUUAGCUUUGUUUGGCGAGCAUAGAAAAGAAAAUAUUGGACCAAAACAAAAAAUAAUGGAGGAAGGAAAAUAACACUCCCCAUCUCAAAAUAUAAGUCGUUUUUGGAUAAUUAUUUUGUGUCUAAAAUUUUGAGGACAUCGAAAUAGAAGAUAACUCAUCUUGAGGUCAGAUUGCUACUUAGAUGCUUUCAAUAGUUAUCCGUCAUACAAUUGGCUACCAAAGAUUUAUCAUGGGCACAAUAACUAGUACUAGUACGUUAGAGAUGCAUCCUUCCCGGUCCUCUCGUAGCAAUUUAGAUUGAAAUUAAGCAACUAACAACUCAAAUUUCGGGUUUUCCUUGUAGUUUCAGUUGUUUUUUUUUUUUUUCUCUCUCUUUUUGAUGAUAAUCAAGUGAAAAAAAAAAAACAACUUCAACUCAAUUUUAUGCAUGCACAAUCUGCCUAGAACCAAAAUUCUGGAAAAAUGGGCAGAAAUUUUUUUUUUUUUUAAAUUUCGUUUCUUUUAUAAUUCUACUAAUUCAAAUGUGUUUGUACAAUUUAGGAAUGGAUUCCGCUAAGUUAUACAAAUUAAAAUGAAGAGAUAAGCAGAUUUGUGCAAGAUCAGCUAAUUAAACUAAAUCUGAGUUUUUCUGGAUUCAAAUUAGUUUUAAACAGCUCAAGAACACAAAGAAUAGCAAAACCCUAUAUUAAUAGUAGAUAAAGGAUAGUACAUUAUUUGGUAAACCAAUGCUCUGAUACCAAAUAAUACAAAACCCGAAGAUCAACAUGGAACUUAGAACUCUCCACCAGUUUGAACCAGUGGAAUUAACCUCCAAGUAACCAUGAUUUUGAUUUAUUCUUAUUCCUAGGAUCUCAACCUAAAAGAACUUAAAGAGAAAAUCCCAUAAUAUCCAACCCAAUUUGAAUUAGAUAUUCAAAAACAUAAGAAAUAGGAAUUGAAUCUGAAUAGCAAUUGAACAAACAAUUACAAUCUAGACAACACCUUAUGCAUAAAGAUAAAAGAAGGCUUAAACUUCAUUUUCAUUAAUCUGAAAUUAUCCAAAAUUCUAUAUCUCUCAAAACAAAGAAAGCUAAUCCAUUUAAAUAGAGAAGGGAUGUAAAAAUUAACUAAAUAAACAUUAAAACAAUAAGUAAAGCCAUAAAGUGGAUGACUCUUCCAUAGCUCCCUUAGCUUUUCAUGCUUUACUACCUUCUUAUCUCUUCAAGUUUUCGUGUUCCAAAAUAAGCCCAUAUGAACUGUCCAACCGAAAUAUAUGGGCCUCAAAAUGAGUUUUGAGCUAAAAUCCCAAAAACUUCAAGAUUGCCAAAACGGGCCUAAUGAUGUCAUUACUCCAUAAAAUUUCACAUGUAUAAAUAUAGGCCCAAAAUGAACUCCCAUGUAUAAUUUAGGAAGCAUUUUAGCCCAUAUUUUAAUUAAAAGUCCAAACAGUCUAUAAAUUUUCAUAUGGAUAUUUUCCUAUUUUGACUCAUUCUGUCUCCAUAACUUGUAUUGUAUCAAAAUACUAAAUCACAUAGAAACUAAACAAUUAUGUCUGGUACACGUGAAAAAUAAAAUGUUUGAUAUAUAAGAAAAAUAUUCACAAAAUUAAUUUAAUUACAUUUGUUCUCUAAUAUUGUAGUAUGUUAAAUUAAUGUGUAAUCAUAUACAAUUCUAUUGAUAAUAAAAAUAUUAAGAUUUAAUUCUAUAGAGUAUAUAACGAAAAUUCAAUGUUGGAUUAAUUUUAAACGACAAAAGGAAAUUUGAUAAGGAUAAAAUGGAGUUAAGAUAGGCUUAAAUCAAAAAUUUCAUAGAAAAAAAAAAGAAAAAAAAUAUAUAUAUAUAUAUAUAUUGUCUAAGAAACUUUACAUCGUAGGUGAGUUUUUUUUUUUUUUUUUUUUUUGGGAUAUUUUACAUCUCUUUUUAGCUCAAGAGAAUGAGAUGUUUUCCUGAUUCGGUUGUAUUAUUUUUUGUCAAUUUUCUUUUAGCGUUUUUUCAGACUAAUUAUGGGUGUAUUGCGGAAACCUAUUGAUUUGAGGUAAAUUCUUGAAAAUGUUAAAAUUUUUCUGGUAUUUUUAAUCCUAAUCAAAAUUUUUUUGUUGCUGAUAAAUGUUAAGCCAGCUGUCAAAAGCUAAGAGUUUGUUAUACUUUGAAUUUGUAUUUGUAUUUCCUAGAUUAAUGCUUAGCCCUGAUCUGUUGUAACCACUUGUAUCAUAAGAAUAGCCUACAGUAUCAAUACGAAUAACAACUCCUCUUCAUCAAUUCUGUAUUGUUCAAGAUGGUAUCAGAGCAUUAAAAACUCUUCUUAGUUUUUUUUUUUUUUUUUUUUUUUUUUUCCGAUCCUUUUCUCUUCUUCUUUGGGAAAGUUCUCUUUCACUUUUAUACUUUGAAUUGUUAUGGCCUCCAUGUCCAACACAGUUCAUUCCUCUAGGAAAAUCUUGAUUACUAUGAAUGGAUCACAGUUUCCUCUCAAACUUUCUUCUACAACCUAUCCAACUUGGAGGGCUCAAAUCUUGCCCGUUCUUCGUGGUCAUAACCUUCUAGGUUAUGUUAAUUGCACUUUUCCUUGUCCUCCUGCUACAAUUAAGGACGGUGAUAAGGAACUUGUCAAUCCAGAUUAUGAUUUUUGGCUUUGUCAAGAUCAAUUAGUUCUGGCAGCCAUUAUUGCAUCUACAAGUUUUUCAGCCAUGAAUACUGUUGCAGAAGCUGAAACUUCGGCGGAGGCAUGGGAGAAGGCUCAGAAAUCCUUUGCUAACAAAUCUGCCACUCGUGUUUCAGAAUACUUAUAGAUGGUCAAAGGUAUUGCUAAUGAUCUUUCCUUGUGUGGCAGUCCUAUUUCAGAUGUUGAUUUGGUUAGUCAUGUCCUUAAUGGAGUUGGUGCUGCAUUUCGAGAUAUUGCUGCUGCUGUGCGUGUUCGAGAUACGAUGAUUUCUUUUGAUGAACUUCAAGAUAAGUUGCUGGCUCAUGAGGUUUAUCUGAAGAAAAUUGAUUCGAGUUAUGAGUCCAUUCCGAUUACAGCAAAUCAGGUUCGCCGAGGGUAUAACUCAAUCAUAAAAAAUAUAUACAUAGAGUACAAGAAAGGAAAGCCAAUAGAGUAGAAGAGUAGUUAUUUUUCACUAAUUAAAGACAAAAGUGAUAAUUGACAAAUAUAGCAAAUGAAAUGCAUGAAGGCUUCCUUUAACAAUCCUUUGCAACUGGUGCUGCUUUGUGAUGACUGGAGAAGAAAUCAUACCUGCAUUAUGAAUUUAAUAAUUUAUAAAUAGUUCUAAUAAUGUUACUGCUUCUGAUUGGGUUAUGGAUUCUGGUGCUUCUUAUCAUAUCACCAAUGAUUUGCAGAAUCUGUCCCUCCACUCACCUUAUGAAGGCUUGGACGAAUUGCAAUUGACUGAUGGCACAGGUUUGAAUAUUUCACAUGUUGGCUCUAAGAAAUUUUCUUUUACUUAUAAACCUUGUGUUUUGGAUGAUGUUUUGGUUGUUCCUCGGUCCAAAGAAAAUCUUAUUUCUGUUGCUCAAAUGUGUAUUACUAAUGGGGUUUCUAUUGAGUUUUUUCCCACUUGUUUUCUUAUCAAGGACCUUCGAACCGGGACGAUAAUCACAAGGGGAGUGCUUGACAAAUUUCUCUAUCGUCUACCAUCCAAAGUCCAUCUAGCUGUUUAUUUCAGUCUUCAUGCUUCGUCCAACUCCUGGCAUCAACGUUUAGGUCAUCCGUCUUCAAAAAUUUUUCAUUAUCUUAUUUCCAAGUUUAAUUUACCUGUGUCGACAUCUCAGUUAUUGAAUUGUAAUUCUUGCAAAUGUAAUAAAAGCCAUCGAUUAGCUUUUGGUCAAUCUUCUUUAUCUAGCUCUNNNNNNNNNNNNNNNNNNNNNNNNNNNNNNNNNNNNNNNNNNNNNNNNNNNNNNNNNNNNNNNNNNNNNNNNNNNNNNNNNNNNNNNNNNNNNNNNNNNNNNNNNNNNNNNNNNNNNNNNNNNNNNNNNNNNNNNNNNNNNNNNNNNNNNNNNNNNNNNNNNNNNNNNNNNNNNNNNNNNNNNNNNNNNNNNNNNNNNNNNNNNNNNNNNNNNNNNNNNNNNNNNNNNNNNUUUCAAAAAUUUGGAAUCUCUCAUUUACAGACUCCUCCACACACUCCUCAGCACAAUGGUGCUGCUGAAAGACGACAUCGUCAUCUUGUUGAAACAGGGUUGACGCUUCUUCAUAAUGUGUCUCUUCCCCCCUCUUUUUGGACAUACGCUUUCAAGGCUGCGACUUAUUUAAUCAAUCGCUUUCCAACACCCAUUCUCAAUUUUUCCCCUCCUUUUUCCAUACUGUUUCAUAAAUCACCAAACUAUUCUAGGUUACGUGUGUUUGGGUGUCUAUGUUAUCCAUGUUUGGGACCUUAUACUAGAAGUAAAUUUGGUUCGAAGUCCUUACCAUGUUUGUUUCUUGGCUAUUCAGAUCAUUAGAGUGCUUAUUUGUGUUAUAAUGUUCAAACUUCUAGGCUUUAUGUGUUGCGACAUGUUGUGUUUGUUGAGGAUUCCUUUCCUGGGGCUUCUGUUUCGAUCGAUACUGAGACUUCUUCUAAUAUGUGGUAUGAUUGUUCCGAUUCUGUCCCUCUUUCUAAUUCGGUACCAUUCUCUUCAACGUCUAUGGGUACUACUGGUCUGGGUAAUUCUGCGGUUGCUUUUUCUGUCCAUGAGUCUAUUGGUCCUUCAAUCUCUGAUUCUAUGGUUUCGUCUCUACCUGUUGAGUUGGAUUUGCCAUUGCAGUCUUCCCCAUCAUCUGUGUCUAACAAUCAGGCUUCGCCUAAUCUUGUGUCUUCCACGUCUAUUAUUCAAGUUUCUAGUGAACCAUCAGUGUCUACCUCUAUUCCUAUUCGUACUCAUCCUAUGCGAACUCGGUCUCAAAAUAAUAUCUUUAAACCAAAACAGGUGCAUCAUGUUACAAAGUAUCCUAUUAUUUCUGUAGAGCCAACUUGUGUUUCGCGGGCUAUGAAAAGUCCAGAAUGGAUGCAGGCCAUGUCAGAUGAGUAUAAUGCUUUGAUUAAAAAUGGGAUGUGGGUCUCGGUUCCUUCAAAUAACCAGAAUCUAGUGGGUUGCAAGUGGAUUUUCAAGAUUAAGAAGAAGGCUGAUGGUUCCAUUGAUAAAUAUAAAGCGCGAUUGGUGGCUAAGGGCUAUAGCCAAAGGCCUAGGGUUGAUUUUGAUGACACAUUUAGUCCAGUGCUCAAACCUAUCACUAUUCGCAUUGUUUUAAUACUUGCGGUUACUAACAAAUGGCCAAUUUUGCAGCUAGAUGUUAACAAUGCGUUCUUACAUGGGUCUCUUCGUGACGAUGUUUACAUGCAACAACCACCUGGGUUUGUUGAUAACACCAAGCCGGGGUAUGUUUGCAAGUUGGUGAAAGCUUUAUAUGGCUUGCGUCAAGCUCCGCGCGCAUGGUACCAAGCUUUAAAGGGUUGUGCCUUGCAAAAUGGUUUUGUUCAAGCAACUACAGAUCACUCUUUAUUCAUUUAUCACCACGACGAUGUGUUGUGCUAUUUUCUUGUAUAUGUUGAUGAUCUUUUGCUCACAGGAAAUAGCAGGAAGUUCAUUGAUAAAUUUAUUAGCAUAUUGGCAGUCAAUUUCUCUCUUAAGGAUCCACAGCCGAUUCAUUUGUUCUUGGGUAUUGAUAUUGAAUCAACCACCAAGGGAUUAUUUCUUUCUCAGCAUCAUUACAUUCGUAAGAUACUUGAGAAAAAUGGAAUGGAAGGUGCAAAACCUUAUGGCAGUCAAAGAUGUUCUUGUCAGGGCCACACAGUCUGAAGCUUCGGUUGCAGAAAAAUAGUAUCGACAAACUGUUGGAGCUCUUCAAUACUUAACAUGGACCCGGCCUGAUAUUAGCUACACUGUCAAUAAACUUUCACAGUUCAUGCAAUGUCCAACCGAGCAACAUUGGAAUGCUUUGAAGAGAUUACUUCGGUAUUUAAAAGCCACAUAUGAUUAUGGUUUGCUGAUUACUCUGCAAAAAUCAUUGAGUUUACAUGCGUUUUCAAACGCUGAUUGGGGAGGAAAUCUCAAUGAUCGAACUUCAACUUCGGGUUAUAUAGUUUAUCUUGGCACCGUUCCGGUUUCGUGGUCUUCCAGGAAGCAAAAGUCAGUCGCUCGGUCGUCGACCGAGGCUGAGUAUCGAGCUGCUGCGUCUUCUGCUUCAGAGGUAAUCUAGAUUAAAAAUUUAAUGGCUGAACUUGGUCUUAAGCUUGAUUCACAGGUUCCAACCAUUUAUUGUGACAAUAUUUCCACAAUCGAUAAUAUUUCCACAAUCUACACAUGUCAAAAUCCAGUUUUUCAUACACGAAUGAAGCAUAUAGAGAUUGAUGUGCAUUUUAUUCAAGAUCAAGUUCAGAAAGGUCAGCUUCGUGUUGCUCAUAUUUCUGCUAAAGAUCAGCUGGCGGAUAUCUUUACAAAGCACUAUCUAAACCUUUGUUUCUUAUCAAUAGAGUCAAGAUUGGUGUGUGUUCUGGUACCCCAAUCUUGAGGGGGCGUGUUAAGCCAACUGUCAAAAGCUAAGAGUUUGUUAUACUUUGAAUUUGUAUUUGUAUUUCCUAGAUUAAUGCUUAGCCCUGAUCUGUUGUAACCACUUAUAUUAUAAGAAUAGCCUACAGUAUCAAUACGAAUAACAACUCCUCUUCAUCAAUUUUGUAUUGUUCAAGAAUAAAAAAAUAAAAUAAAAUAAAAGAUGAUAAGAAAAUUGCAUAUUUUAUUCAAAUAAUAAUAGAAUUGCACGUUUCACACAACAAAUAGGUAUAUAAUUAAUAAGUUAGGACAUAUCCAAAAGCCUCAAGAGAACGAUUAUUAUUGUAAAAUAAAUAAAUAAAGCAAUACAUUCUUUAAUUUAAUUUUGGUGACACUAAACUCUCCACAAAUGGAACCAUUUCAACCUCACCUAGGAAAAAAUUUAAAGUCUUCAAUUCCUGAUUCUUCAAGUCAUACCGUAGCAAUAAAGAUAAUGAAUGUGACUUCUCAAGUAUAAAAAAUGCAUUAUUCUCAAAAGUGUGCUGAAACCGAGUAUAUUGUCAUCUGUUGGAUGGUUAUCAAUUUGUCCAAGAACUUGUCGCCCCAUAUUCUUUCAUUACCCAAACAUCUACAUAAGGAGAUUGAUCUCCAGAAACACAAAUUCAGUUUAAGAAAGAAAGGCACCCUUGCAGAACAUUUAACUCAAACAUUGACAAGACCCUGUUUCUUACAGUUGGGAAGUUGCAGUUGUAAUGUUUUCUAUUCUGCUAAGUUAAAAGCCACAAUAACCUCGCUGAAAUUUCCCAAUUCUACAACCGAGUGGAAAGCUCCAUGCUCCAUGCGCUAAAUUUCCCAGCUUUACUAAGUCUAAUUUUGAAGUUAAAAUCUCUGAUCUUUCGUAGAGAAUUAGAUUUCAGUGAAAGAACAAUGAGCUAUUUUAAAUGGUCAUCGUCGCUAUAUGCACAUUGUAUAACUUUAUAAUCAUCAGUAGCAGCGUCGUAACCUAAUCCAUAAGAGUAAGAGACAUUAAAGAACUAUUUUUAGGGUUUUGGCAAUUCUCUAGUCGAAGGUUCCAUAUGAUAAUGGAAUAGUAACGACUUGGAUUCGAGACAAUGUUAUUACUAAAAAGAUACCAUGGAAGAAACUUCGAGGCAAUGGCUCUGGUUUUCCUUCGAACUUUGGAAUAAGGAGUUGGAUAAGAGACAUGUAACAAUAUCAAACCAUCACAAGAACAUAAAAUCCUGCAAUUCUUGUAAUUUAAAAAUCGCAGCUGUUGCUUCAAGAGAUAUUUAAUUGGCAUAGGUUCUUCUAAAUCAUUAACAUCAUAAAAAUAUGAACCACAAAAGAAUUUGGAUGAAUCAACUUGGGAUUGGUGGUGGAGGUGUGAUUUGAUGAAGUUUGGACUAUAGAUUAAAGAAUGACAUGAUUUUGAUAUACAUUUUACCUUUAGCUUUAAGAAUAUCUCCGCUACAAUAUCUUCAGUUACUCUGAUUUCCAUGGCAGCGUGGAUGUUGAGAUUCUCUCUCGAUGGAAUUUUAUGUAAUUGCUAAUUAGGGUUUGACUGCCGGAAUUCAAUUCCCAUCCUAAUUAAAAAUUAUUUAUAGCUUGAUAUAAUCAUGGAAAGUUUAAAAAAAAAGAAAUAUAGACCGAUUUAAGCAAUUGAAUCCCCUUAUUCAAUAUGGUCACUGGACGUGUUAGACUUACCAAAAAUAGUUUAUAUAGGAGUAAAUUAUUAUUUAGUACAUUUAAUUUAGUGAAAUUAACUAUUUAAUCUCUAUCUUUUAAAAAAUACAUAAAUUGUUGAGAAGUAACACAAAAUUAACUAUUUAGAGCGAUCUUUUAGUCGUUGCUUCACAAAUUCAUCUGAAAUUGUGUUGAGCAUUCCGGUGAUAGCUUUGGAGAUUUCAGUUGCACUCAAUGAUGCUAUGUAAAGUGCAUAUUUUGUAAAGGUUGGCGGGCCACUUGUUGGGCCUACUGUUAGAGCUUCUUUGCAAUAGUUAUUGUAAAAUGUUUUUUCACAAGAUUGAUUUAUUAAAUCUGAGCCCUGUUGGUGUCAUGGCGAAAAAUAGGGCAAAGAAAAAGAUUUUGGAAACAUGAUGUUUCACGGAAUUUUUUUCUCUCAUUAAUUUUUCUUUAUUUUCCUUCUUGUAUAUAUAUGUCAAUGAAAAUCUCUCUUGGCGAAUUUUUCUUUUGCCGUCUUUUUGUAUUUGUGCUAAACAAAGGUUUGGGUAUUUUUAAGUUGCGUUUAACUAUUUUCUAUUUUUUGAUAGGUUCUAUUUUAAAGAGUUUGUAACUAUUUUGUAUUUUUGGAUAAGAGCAUAAUAAGAAAAGAACAAAUUAAUAGGAUCAAAGUAAAAAAAAAAAAUCAUAAUAAUGACACAUUUAUCUCACAAUGUUAUCUUGUACCAUGAAUAUUCCUAUUUGACAAUGUUUUUUUUUUCGGAUAUUAGGUGAAGGAGAAUUCGAACCCGAAUCUAUUGUCGGGUCAUAUAUAUACACCUACUACUAGGCUAUACCUUGGUAUGCCCUCUAGGAAAAUAAACCUCAAAAUUUUAUUAAAUCUUGGCCCAAAUUUUUCAUCUACAACAUUCCACAGUUCGGGCCCAAUUAACAACACAUCACAUUUUUUAAUAUGGGCUCAUAGAAUUAUAUCGUCUAUGUUAAUAUACGACUAAUUGUAUGUAAAUUUUACAACUGCAGAGUCACUAACUCUUUGGAAUACAUAGCUUUUGAUACACAUAAUUACAUAGUCAAAUAAUUAUGGAACUAGGAAAAUUUCUCUAUUGCCCUGCGCCGAAGAAACAUAGUCUAAAGCGGAUUAAAGAAAAACUUACUUCCUGAAAAAUCAAACAAGACAUGUGAGUUUUCGAAGGAAUAAUAAUUAUUGCACAACACACGCAAUCACACAAAUGUGUAAACAUAUCAAUCUAGUCAUCCGACUAGUUAUAUGCUCACGCAGCCAGUCACACAANNNNNNNNNNNNNNNNNNNNNNNNNNNNNNNNNNNNNNNNNNNNNNNNNNNNNNNNNNNNNNNNNNNNNNNNNNNNNNNNNNNNNNNNNNNNNNNNNNNNNNNNNNNNNNNNNNNNNNNNNNNNNNNNNNNNNNNNNNNNNNNNNNNNNNNNNNNNNNNNNNNNNNNNNNNNNNNNNNNNNNNNNNNNNNNNNNNNNNNNNNNNNNNNNNNNNNNNNNNNNNNNNNNNNNNNNNNNNNNNNNNNNNNNNNNNNNNNNNNNNNNNNNNNNNNNNNNNNNNNNNNNNNNNNNNNNNNNNNNNNNNNNNNNNNNNNNNNNNNNNNNNNNNNNNNNNNNNNNNNNNNNNNNNNNNNNNNNNNNNNNNNNNNNNNNNNNNNNNNNNNNNNNNNNNNNNNNNNNNNNNNNNNNNNNNNNNNNNNNNNNNNNNNNNNNNNNNNNNNNNNNNNNNNNNNNNNNNNNNNNNNNNNNNNNNNNNNNNNNNNNNNNNNNNNNNNNNNNNNNNNNNNNNNNNNNNNNNNNNNNNNNNNNNNNNNNNNNNNNNNNNNNNNNNNNNNNNNNNNNNNNNNNNNNNNNNNNNNNNNNNNNNNNNNNNNNNNNNNNNNNNNNNNNNNNNNNNNNNNNNNNNNNNNNNNNNNNNNNNNNNNNNNNNNNNNNNNNNNNNNNNNNNNNNNNNNNNNNNNNNNNNNNNNNNNNNNNNNNNNNNNNNNNNNNNNNNNNNNNNNNUUAAAUGAAUAAUAAAGAUAAUAAAUAAUCAGAGCACUAUAUUUAUUAUGUACCAAGUUAUAGAACUAAUCUAAAUAAACUUAUUAAUUAUGUUGUUAAUUAAAACUAGUCUAGGUUCUAUUGAAAUUUCGGCAGCAUCUCCCCUAAAAAUAGGACUAUCUACCUGUUCAAAUAUCACAAUAUUAUCAUAUAUUUAUCGAUCAAUGUACACGGCCCAUCCGUCGGGCGAUCAAACAGUUAAAUUUCCCUUCCUCCAUCCAAAUAAUAUUGUCAACAUUCAAUUAUUAAUUCACAACGUAUAAUAACCUUCAAACAUGUUCCAAUAAUAUUAUUGAACAUUCUUUGCUUCACAUAAAUAUAAUCAGCUUCUUUAGCUAAUUGACAAAUAAAUGAAAUCUUUUAUACAUAUACAUAUAAACAGAAGUUAUACCAUUAAGUUAAUUAGCUUCUAACUAUUAUAAAACUCCUUAUUAAACCUUUAUUUCAUCAUCCUUGCUUAAGGUAUAAACAACAUCUUUAAACAUUUACUAAAAUUCUAAACUAGCUACUAAGAACCAAUGCUUCAAUUAAAUUACAAUUUCAUAAAUACUUCUACUAGGCAACCCGACUCACAACUUGAACGUAUAACUAAAGCUUCCUAAAUUUCCUUCAUCUUGCCACGAAAAAUACAAUUUCUAGAUUAUAGUAAAUUAUGUUUACCAUCGAAUCGUUACCUAACAAGAUUGAAGCUAUAGAGCAUUAACCAAUGGUAUCCAUCACAGAAAUAUUGAGAAUAUAUCCAUUUCUAGGUUAGUUCAUAUAAAAAUGGCAACGAUUACCUGCAAUAGCUACUCCCCACCAAAUGCAAUAGGUUCUCCUUAACUUAGACUUAUACAUAUAUACACAAAUUUCACUCAUUUCCCAUCAAAACUUAGAUUCUUAACAUCCUAUAAUCCAUAUCAAGCAAUGGUUUAUAGAAAUAAUGAGAAAUAGCUGCUGCCAUUUUAAAAUUGCUCUAAUUUAUUAUAUAGAAUAUGUAGCAAACACAUUAGCCCACACAUUUUUUUUUUAUUAAAAAAAAUUUCAGUCUGCAGCUCAUUUGGAAUGAUAAAAAUUCAAGAUUUCCUUCCUAUCAUAUUGAAAACUCAAGCAAAUAACCAUUAAACUACUGCCAUCUUCAAGGGAUUAUCAAUUCCUCUAACAAAUUGUGUAAUGAACCCUCUAUACUACUUAUUAACAUCUAGCAAACUUAGUUCAUAACUUUAGUUUGUAGUUUAAUUCAAGAUUUCUAUAAUUUUUUUUUUAUUUUUGUAUAAACAGUACCUGAAAACUCUAACUACAAAGAUCUUGAAAUUUAUGCAAUUUAAUUUGCAAAAGAGUGAGGAGGGAGGAUAAUCGGCUUACCUUGUCGGCGACAGUCGCCGGAGUUGCUCGGAGGGAAGGACGAAGACGCGAUUUCCAUCCAUGAGCUCGCUAGUUUUCUGCGGCUACUGGGUACGCAGGAACGAAAGAGAGACAGAGGAUCGGAACCGUUGCAGCAAGAAGGUGACGGCGAGGAGGCUAGAUUGAUCGGCUCCGGUGGCUGGAAUGGGGAGGGAAGGAGGAGGAGGAGGAGGUCGCGCGCUCGAGGAAGAAUAAGAAGAAAAGAAAAAAGAAAAGAAAGGAGAAUUCUAGAGCUUCUAGACCAUUUCGGUUCGAUUCGAACCGGUUUCGUCUAAUUCUAUGAUUUGGCUCGAUUUGCUUGGUUUUCGAGUUUUUCACUUGGUUUUCGAAAAAUCGAAUUGGUUUACGGGUCCAGUUUAGCAAUAAUAAAAUACUAGCUGGUAUAAUUUCAUGGUUGAAAUAAAUAAAAAAUUUAGUUUUUAAAUGAAAAUUCUACGAAAUUAAAUUUUCGGGUCGUUUCAGUUAUCUUGUACCAUGAAUAUUCUUAUUUGACAAUGUUUUUCUUUUUUUUUUGGGUAUUAGGUGAGGGAGAAUUCGAACCCGAAUCUAUUAUCGGGUCAUAUAUACGCCUACUACUAGGCUAUACCUUGGUAUGCCCUAUUUAACAAUGUUAGUUAUUUUAGUGACUAUUAAUUGUUCCGGUAACUUUUAUGGAAAAAACUUGCCUAAAUUGGGUCUAUGACCCAAUUUAUGGACCAAACCAAUGAAAUUAAAGGUUUUCUAAAAAAUGUUUCGAUUUUAUCUUUUUUUUUUCAAGUGUGUGGUCAGAAAUACACUCUUUUCAAUAAAAAAAUCUUUAAUUUCAUUGAUUUGGUCCAUAAGUCAAUCCACAAUAAUUUUUCAUCAAUAGAACUCAACCAAAAUCAUCGAAAUUAAAGAGGGAGCUCUAAUUUGGAAUAAAGGUCAAUCCGGUACCUGAACUUGUUUCGCAGGAUAAAAAAAAGUCAGAUUUGACUUUUGGGGCAAUUUAGCUUUUAAACAUGUAUAAAAUUAUUAAAAAGAUCUGAUUUUACUUUUUAGGCCAAUUUAACCCUUGAACUUAUUUAAAAUGAUUAAAAAAAAAUCAUAUUUGAUAUUUUGAGUCAAUUUAAUAUCUAAUUCUUCACUGUACUUAUAAUGUAAAAAUUAUUAAAUAAAAACUAUAGUUGGGAUCGAGCCGACUAAUUUAUUAAAAAGUUAAUUAAUUAUAAAAUAUAGGAAAAUGAUAAAUGAAGUACAUCGUAUCUCUCUUUUACCUUCAUUGAUGAUCUUGAGUUUAUAAAUAUAUAUUAAUUUGGACAUUUUAAAAUCAACAUUUAUUACUGGAUUAUCGCUUAUGAAAUAUAUGCAUUUUUCAUGUUGAAUAAAUUAAAGUUAUACUGCAUAUCUUUAUAAAUUUAUUAUAUUACAAGAUAUGAUGUUUUAUGAAUUUUAAAUUUAUAUUCAUAAGUGUUGAAAAAGUUUAAUAAGAGUGUUUUUAGUGUUGGACAAAAAGAGAUAAAAAGUCAAUCAUGUUAAAUUAAAUAAAUUGAUUUUUAUUCCCUCUAAUUUCUAAACAUGCAUGUGGGAGUAAAAAAUCUCAUUUUUCAAUUUUUAAUUAACAACUUGAUUUUUUUUAUUUAAUUAAAAUGCAUUUCAAAGCUAAAUAGCAAGUUUAGAUCGACUUACUAGUGAUUUAGUGCAAGAAACAAGAGAAACUAGAAAAAUUUAAAAAAAAUUAUAAAAUCAAAUGUUAAUAUGGAUUCAUUUCCAUAAAUGAUUAUUCACAUAAGAGUUCAAUUUUUGGCGGAGAGAUUUGAAAAUGUUAAAAUAAUACUGGAAAUUUGGCUAAAUCUUGUGUUGACACUAGUCAAUGGAGAUGUAACUCCAUUGAAACCUUCCUCACAAGUCUCAGAACUGGUCAUCCCAGCACUAAUCCAUGUAUUAACAUCAUUAUAAGCCUUAGCAUCAACAGCAGCGGUUGAUUCCUUAAUCUGAUCAAGAGCACUCUGAUAGACCUCAGAGCAAUCUGUUAAAGCCUGCUUUACAGAUGCAUCUGAACUUGUUUCGAGCAAUUUGGGGAUGAGCUUCAAUACUUCAUUGGCGCUCAAUGAUGCUAUGUCAAGUGCACUUUUUGUCAAGCUUUGCAUGUCACUUGCUGGGGCUGAUCCUAAAGCUUCUUUGCAGAAAUCCUUGUAUAAGGUUUUGUCACAGGAUUGAUUUAACAAUUCUGAGGCUUGGUGACUAGUAGAAAUCAUGGCAAAAAAUAGGGCAAAGAAAAAGAUUUUCGAAGACAUGAUGGUUCGUGGGAUUUUUCUCUCUCGCCAAUUUUUCUUUAUUUGCCUUCUCGUAUAUGUGUCAAUGAAAAUCUUUCUCUUGGCGAAUUUUUCUUUUGCCUUCUUAUUUUCGAAGACAUGAUGUUUCGUGGGAUUUUUCUUUCUUGCCAAUUUUUCUUUAUUUGCCUUCUCGUAUAUAUGUCAAUGAAAAUCUUUCUCUUGGCGAAUUUUUCUUUUGCCUUCUUCUUGUAUUUGUACUAAACAAAAGUUUGGGUAUUUUAGGUUGUUUUUAACUAUUUUCUAUUUUUGGGAAGGUUGUUAAAGAAAUAAGACGAGAAUAAGGAGGUAAAAAAACAUGUGGAGAACCAAUUAACAGGUAAAAGUAACAGAAUGAUCUAUUGAUUCUCAAAUUACAAAAGUCCAAUGUUAUUUCUGGUUUCUGGAUUGUCUAUAUAUGGCAGUUUUAUUUCACAAAGUUAUCUUUUGCAAUUGAGUGGAUCGUAAUAAUCCCAAUAACUAUGGAAGUGUAUGAACAUUAUUAAACAAAAUUGUACUUUACAACGUGUUUUAAAUUGAGAUUAUUUUGACCAACAACGUGUUUUAAAUUGAGAUUAUUUUGACUAAUAAAAUAUUGGUUGAAGUGGUAAACGACUUUAAUCCCGUAAGGAUAAGAAUACAAAUUUGAUAUCCAAGAAGAACAUUUUACUGGGAGGACCAAAAAUCUUUACACGAUCAGGGGGAUGAUUACACCUCCUAGUUAUAUAAAAAAAAAAAAAAAAAAAAAAAAAAAAUUGAGGUUGAAGUUAUUUGGUCAAUAUCUCUCCUGCUAAAGCAUAUGAGAAUAAAUUCUUCGUAAGAAGUAAUAAAACUCAAAAUGUGGAAGUGUUAAUUUCUAUAUAAAUAAUUCAGAAAUAAAUGCUUUUAUUUUUGAAUAAAAAUUUUAUAAUAGCAAGCAUCUAUAAUUUUGGGAAUGGAUGUUAAGAAAAAAUGCCAUGGUAAUAAUUUUUUAAGUUAAAAUCAGAGACAAAUUAUACGACGUAUAUAUGUAAUCUUAUUAUCAAACUAUUGUAAUAUUUGAAAUGAUAUUUAAAUGUUAGGCAAGAAAUAAAAAACUCAAGCUGGAGAAAUAUUUGUACUAUUUUUAUUAUAUUUAUUGGUAUGAGAAAAUAUGUUAAAUAUGUGAAUUCGCCAUGAUUCCUUAACGCUACCCUAAUGAAUUUACCAAUAUAAUUUGUAUAAAAGAUUUAAUUACAGUGAAUGACAACACUUGAAAGAAAUGAAGUGUAUGUUUGAUUUUUGUUCAAAUACGCAGUAAAGAGUCAAAUUUGAUGCCUAAUGAUGUAAUCAAAUGCAAUAUGGCAGAUACAAGAAAAGAAAACUAAUGGAUGCAAGUAAACGACAAAUCUGGAAAUUGAUGAAAGAAACUUGAAAUUCUCAAAUAAAAUCUCAAAUUAUCACACAAAACACUCAAUUAACACGAAAGAUAUGGUUUUGAAUGAAUCCAAACUCAAUUGAAAGGAGUCAAACCCAAACAGCUCCAAAAUUCACCAAAUAAUAUGGAACCCCAAGAUCAACAUGGAAUUUAGAACUCUCCACCAAUUUGAACCAGUAGAAUUAACCCCCAAGCGAUCAUGAUUUUGAUUUGUUCUUAUACCUAAGAACUCAAUCUAAAAGAACUUAAAGAGAAAAUCCCAAAAUAUCCCUUUUACACGCAAUUUGAAUUAGACGUUCAAAAACAUAAGAAAUAUGAAUUGAAUCUGAAUAGCAAUUGAACAAAUCAAUUAUAAUCCAGACAACACCUUAUGCACGAAGAUAAAAGAAGUCUUAAACCUCACUUUCAUUGAUCUAAAAUUAUCCAAAAUUUUAUAUCUCUCAAAACAAAGAAAGCUAAUCCCUUUACAUAGAGAAGGGAUGUACAAAUUAAUUAAAUAAAAUUAAAACAAUAAUUAAAGCCAUAAAGUGGAUGAGUCUUCCAUAGCUCCCUUAACUCUUUAUGUUCUAUUACCUUCUUAUCUCUUCAAGUUCCAGUGAUCCAAAAUAAGCACAAAUGAACUGUCCAACCGAAAUAUAUGGGUCCUAAAAUGAGUUUUGAGCUAAAAGCCCAAAAAUUUCAAGAUUGCCAAAACAGGCCUAAUGAUGUCAUUACUUCAUAAAAUUUCCCAUGUAUAAAUAUAGCCCAAAAUGAACUCCAAACUAACACAAAUGCAUUUUAAAUAAUUUAGGAAUUAUUUUAGCCCAUAUUUUAAAUAAAAGCCCAAACAGUCUAUAAAUUUUUAUACCUGGACAUUUUCCUGUUUUGACUCAUUUUGCGCUCAUAACUUGUAUUGUAUCAAAAAGCUAAUCACGUAGAAACUAAAUAAUUAUAUCUGGUACACGUGAAAAAUAAAAUGUUUGAUAUAUAUGAAAAAUAUUCACAAAUUAAUUUAAUUACAUUGUUCUCUGAUAUUGUAAUAUGUUAAAUGUGUAAUUAUAUACAAUUCUAUUGAUAAUAAAAAUAUUAAGAUUUAAUUCUGUAGAGUAUAUAACGAAAAUUCAAUGUUGGAUUAAUUUUAAACGUCAAAAGGAAAUUUGAUACGGAUAAAAUGGAGUUAAGAUAGGCUUAAAUCAAAAAUUUCAAAGAAAAAUAUAAACAAAUAUAUAUAUAUAUAUAUAUAUAUNNNNNNNNNNNNNNNNNNNNNNNNNNNNNNNUUUUUUUUUUUUUUUUUUUGGGAUAUUUUGCAUCUCCUUUUCUUAGCUCAAGAGAAUGAGAUGUUUUCCUGAUUCCGCUGUAUUAUUUUUUUGUCAAUUUUCUUUUAGCGUUUUUCAACUAAUUACGGGUGUGUUGGGGAAGCCUAUGGUUUGAGGUAAAUUCUUGAAAAUACUAAACUUUUUCUGGUAUUUUUAAUCCUAAUCAAAAAAUUUUUGUUGCUGACAAAAAAUAAAAUAAAAUAAAAGAUGAUAAGAAAAUUGCAUAUUUUAUCCAAAUAAUAAUAGAAUUGCACGUUUCACACAACAAAUAGGCAUAUAAUUAAUAAGUUAGGACAUAUCCAAAAGCCUCAAGAGAACGAUUAUUAUUGUAAAAUAAAUAAAUAAAGCAAUACGUUCUUUAAUUUAAUUUUGGUGACUCUGAACUCUCCACAAAUGGAACCAUUUCAACCUCACCUAGGAAAAAAUUCAAAGUCUUCAAUUCCUGAUUCUUCAAGUCAUACCGUAGCAAUAAAGAUAAUGAAUGUGACUUCUCAAGUAUAAAAAAUGCAUUAUUCUCAAAAGAAAAGUGUGCUGAAACCGAGUAUAUUGUCAUCUGUUGGAUGGUAUCAAUUAGGUCAAAGAACUUGUCGCCCAUAUUCUUUCAUUACCCAAACAUCUACAUAAGGAGAUUGAUCUCAUAAACACAAAUUGAGGUUACGAAAGAAAGGCACCCUUGCAGAACAUUUAACUCAAACAUUGACAAGACCCUGUUUCUUACAGUUGGGAAGUUGCAGUUGUAAUGUUUUCUCAUCUGCUAAGUUAAAAGCAACAAUAACCUUGCUGAAAUUUCCCAAUUCUAAAACCCAGUGGAAAGCUCCAUGCGCUAAAUUUCCCAGCUUUACUAAGUCUAAUUUUGAAGUUAAAAUCUCUGAUCUUUCGUAGAGAAUUAGAUUUCAGUGAAAGAACAAUGAGCUAUUUUAAAUGGUCAUCGUCGCUAUAUGCACAUUGUAUAACUUUAUAAUCAUCAGUAGCAGCGUCGUAACCUAAUCCAUAAGAGUAAGAGACAUUAAAGAACUAUUUUUAGGGUUUUGGCAAUUCUCUAGUCGAAGGUUCCAUAUGAUAAUGGAAUAGUAACGACUUGGAUUCGAGACAAUGUUAUUACUAAAAAGAUACCAUGGAAGAAACUUCGAGGCAAUGGCUCUGGUUUUCCUUCGAACUUUGGAAUAAGGAGUUGGAUAAGAGACAUGUAACAAUAUCAAACCAUCACAAGAACAUAAAAUCCUGCAAUUCUUGUAAUUUAAAAAUCGCAGCUGUUGCUUCAAGAGAUAUUUAAUUGGCAUAGGUUCUUCUAAAUCAUUAACAUCAUAAAAAUAUGAACCACAAAAGAAUUUGGAUGAAUCAACUUGGGAUUGGUGGUGGAGGUGUGAUUUGAUGAAGUUUGGACUAUAGAUUAAAGAAUGACAUGAUUUUGAUAUACAUUUUACCUUUAGUUUUAAGAAUAUCUCCGCUACAAUAUCUUCAGUUACUCUGAUUUCCAUGGCAGCGUGGAUGUUGAGAUUCUCUCUCGAUGGAAUUUUAUGUAAUUGCUAAUUAGGGUUUGACUGCCGGAAUUCAAUUCCCAUCCUAAUUAAAAAUUAUUUAUAGCUUGAUAUAAUCAUGGAAAGUUUAAAAAAAAAGAAAUAUAGACCGAUUUAAGCAAUUGAAUCCCCUUAUUCAAUAUGGUAACUUGACGUGUUAGACUUACCAAAAAUAGUUUAUAUAGGAGUAAAUUAUUAUUUAGUACAUUUAAUUUAGUGAAAUUAACUAUUUAAUCUCUAUCUUUUAAAAAAUACAUAAAUUGUUGAGAAGUAACACAAAAUUAACUAUUUAGAGCGAUCUUUUAGUCGUUGCUUCACAAAUUCAUCUGAAAUUGUGUUGAGCAUUCCGGUGAUAGCUUUGGAGAUUUCAGUUGCACUCAAUGAUGCUAUGUAAAGUGCAUAUUUUGUCAAGGUUGGCGGGCCACUUGUUGGGCCUACUGUUAGAGCUUCUUUGCAAUAGUUAUUGUAUAAUGUUUUUUCACAAGAUUGAUUUAUUAAAUCUGAGCCCUGUUGGUGUCAUGGCGAAAAAUAAGGCAAAGAAAAAGAUUUUGGAAACAUGAUGUUUCACGGAAUUUUUUUCUCUCACUAAUUUUUCUUUAUUUUCCUUCUUGUAUAUAUGUCAAUGAAAAUCUCUCUUGGCGAAUUUUUCUUUUGCCGUCUUUUUGUAUUUGUGCUAAACAAAGGUUUGGGUAUUUUAAGUUACGUUUAACUAUUUUCUAUUUUUUGAUAGGUUCUAUUUUAAGGUGUUUGUAACUAUUUUGUAUUUUUGGAUAAGAGCAUAAAAAAAAAAAAACAAAUUAAUAGGAUAAAAGUAAAAAAAAAAAAAUCAUAAUAAUGACACAUUUAUCUCACAAUGUUAUCUUGUACCAUGAAUAUUCCUAUUUGACAAUGUUUUUUUUUUCGGAUAUUAGGUGAAGGAGAAUUCGAACCCGAAUCUAUUGUCGGGUCAUAUAUAUACACCUACUACUAGGCUAUACCUUGGUAUGCCCUAUUUAACAAUGUUAGUUUUUUUAGUGACUAUUAAUUGUUCCGGUAACUUUUAUGGAAAAAAACUUGUCUAAAUUGGGUCUAUUAUCCAACUUAUAGACCAAACCAAUGAAAUUAAAGAUUUUCUAAAAAAUGUUUCGAUUUUAUCUUUUUUUUUUUCAAGUGUGGUCAGAAAUAUACUCUUUUCAAUUAAAAAUCUUUAAUUUCAUUGAUUUGGUCCAUAAGUCAAUCCACAAUAAUUUUCCAUCAAUAGAACUCAACCAAAAUCAUAGAAAUUAAAGAGGGAGCUCUAAUUUGGAAUAAAGGUCAAUCCGGUACCUGAACUUGUUUCGCAGGAUAAAAAAAAAAAGUCAAAUUUGACUUUUGGGGCAAUUUAGCCUUUAAACAUGUAUAAAAUUAUUAAAAAGAUCUGAUUUUACUUUUUAAGCCAAUUUAACUCCUGAACUUAUUUGAAAUAAUUAAAAAAAUCAUAUUUGACAUUUUGAGUCAAUUUAAUAUCUAAUUCUUCACUGUACUUAUAAUGUAAAAAUUAUUAAAUAAAAACUAUAGUUGGGAUCGAGCCGACUAAUUUAUUAAAAAGUUAAUUAAUUAUAAAAUGUAGGAAAAUGAUAAAUGAAGUACAUUGUAUCUCUCUUUACAUUGAUUGAUAAUUUUGAAUUUAUAAAUAUAUAUUAAUUUGAACAUUUUAAAAUCAACCUUUAUUACUGGGUUAUCGCUUAUGAAAUAUAUGCAUUUUUCAUGUUGAAUAAAUUGAAGUUAUACUGCAUAUGUUUAUAAAUUUAUUAUAUUACAAGAAAUGAUGUUUUAUGAAUUUUAAAUUUAUAUUCAUAAGUGUUGAAAAAGUUUAAUAAGAGUGUUCUUAGUGUUGGACAAAAAGAGAUAAAAAAUCAAUCAUGUUAAAUUAAAUAAAUUAUUAAUUUAUAAAAAUCAAAAUAAGCUCAAGAGUUAAAUUAACUUAAAAAAGUGAAAUCAGAUCUUUUUAAUCAUUUUAUAGAUGUUGAAGGGCUAAAUUGGCCUAAAGGUCAAAUCUAACAUUUUUUAUUCUGUUAAACAAGUUCAUGGACCAAAUUGAUUUUUAUUCCCUCUAGUUUCUAAACAUGCAUGUGGGAGUAAAAAAUCUCAUUUUUCAAUUUUUAAUUAACAACUUGAUUUUUUUAUUUAAUUAAAAUGCAUUUCAAAGCUAAAUAGCAAGUUUAGAUCGACUUACUAGUGAUUUAGUGCAAGAAACAAGAGAAACUAGAAAAAUUUAAAAAAAAUUAUAAAAUCAAAUGUUAAUAUGGAUUCAUUUCCAUAAAUGAUUGUUCACAUAAGAGUUCAAUUUUUGGCGGAGAGAUUUGAAAAUGUUAAAAUAAUACUGGAAAUUUGGCUAAAUCUUGUGUUGACACUAGUCAAUGGAGAUGUAACUCCAUUGAAACCUUCCUCACAAGUCUCAGAACUGGUCAUCCCAGCACUAAUCCAUGUAUUAACAUCAUUAUAAGCCUUAGCAUCAACAGCAGCCGUUGAUUUCUUAAUCUGAUCAAGAGCGCUCUGAUAGACCUCAGAGCAAUCUGUUAAAGCCUGCUUUACAGAUGCAUCUGAACUUGUUUCGAGCAAUUUGGGGAUGAGCUUCAAUACUUCAUUGGCGCUCAAUGAUGCUAUGUCAAGUGCACUUUUUGUCAAGCUUUGCAUGUCACUUGCUGGGGCUGAUCCUAAAGCUUCUUUGCAGAAAUCCUUGUAUAAGGUUUUGUCACAGGAUUGAUUUAACAAUUCUGAGGCUUGGUGACUAGUAGAAAUCAUGGCAAAAAAUAGGGCAAAGAAAAAGAUUUUCGAAGACAUGAGGUUUCGUGGGAUUUUUCUCUCUCGCCAAAUUUUCUUUAUUUGCCUUCUCGUAUAUGUGUCAAUGAAAAGUAAAAAAAAAUGUGGAGAACCAAUUAACAGGUAAAAAUAACAGAAUAAUCUAUUG